rnacentral:tRNA from 1 species
GCCGGGGUGGCCGAGCGGACUAAGGCGGCGGACGCCCGAUCCGCUGCCCCUCUGGGGGCGCCCGGGUUCGAAUCCCGGCCCCGGCGCCA